AGAGUUUGAUCAUGGCUCAGAUUGAACGCUGGCGGCAGGCCUAACACAUGCAAGUCGAGCGGUAACAGGAAGAAGCUUGCUUCUUUGCUGACGAGCGGCGGACGGGUGAGUAAUGCCUGGGAAUAUGCCUUAGUGUGGGGGAUAACUAUUGGAAACGAUAGCUAAUACCGCAUAACGUCUACGGACCAAAGAGGGGGACCUUCGGGCCUCUCGCGCUAAGAUUAGCCCAGGUGGGAUUAGCUAGUUGGUGGGGUAAAGGCUCACCAAGGCAACGAUCCCUAGCUGGUCUGAGAGGAUGAUCAGCCACACUGGAACUGAGACACGGUCCAGACUCCUACGGGAGGCAACAGUGGGGAAUAUUGCACAAUGGGGGAAACCCUGAUGCAGCCAUGCCGCGUGUAUGAAGAAGGCCUUCGGGUUGUAAAGUACUUUCAGUCGUGAGGAAGGGUGUGCAGUUAAUAGCUGUACAUCUUGACGUUAGCGACAGAAGAAGCACCGGCUAACUCCGUGCCAGCAGCCGCGGUAAUACGGAGGGUGUGAGCGUUAAUCGGAAUUACUGGGCGUAAAGCGCAUGCAGGCGGUUAGUUAAGCGAGAUGUGAAAGCCCGGGGCUCAACCUCGGAACAGCAUUUCGAACUGGCUAACUAGAGUCUUGUAGAGGGGGGUAGAAUUUCAGGUGUAGCGGUGAAAUGCGUAGAGAUCUGAAGGAAUACCGGUGGCGAAGGCGGCCCCCUGGACAAAGACUGACGCUCAGAUGCGAAAGCGUGGGGAGCAAACAGGAUUAGAUACCCUGGUAGUCCACGCCGUAAACGAUGUCUACUUGGAGGUUGUGGCCUUGAGCCGUGGCUUUCGGAGCUAACGCGUUAAGUAGACCGCCUGGGGAGUACGGUCGCAAGAUUAAAACUCAAAUGAAUUGACGGGGGCCCGCACAAGCGGUGGAGCAUGGUUUAAUUCGAUGCAACGCGAAGAACCUUACCUGCUCUUGACAUCCAGAGAGGCCAGCGGAGACGCAGGUGUGCCUUCGGGAGCUCUGAGACAGGUGCUGCAUGGCUGUCGUCAGCUCGUGUUGUGAAAUGUUGGGUUAAGUCCCGCAACGAGCGCAACCCUUAUCCUUGUUUGCCAGCACGUAAUGGUGGGAACUCCAGGGAGACUGCCGGUGAUAAACCGGAGGAAGGUGGGGACGACGUCAAGUCAUCAUGGCCCUUACGAGUAGGGCUACACACGUGCUACAAUGGCGAAUACAGAGGGCUGCCAACCAGCGAUGGUGAGCGAAUCCCACAAAGUACGUCGUAGUCCGGAUCGGAGUCUGCAACUCGACUCCGUGUAGUCGGAAUCGCUAGUAAUCGUGAAUCAAAAUGUCACGGUGAAUACGUUCCCGGGCCUUGUACACACCGCCCGUCACACCAUGGGAGUGGGCUGCACCAGAAGUAGAUAGCUUAACCUUCGGGAGGGCGUUUACCA
rnacentral:rRNA from 1 species